UGAAUUUCAGUUAACUUGGCAAUUCUCCUCCCUCUAAUUGAGGGAAAGGCCCCCUCCUUUCCCCAUCACAGGGAGGGGGCGGAGCAUCCUCUGAGAAGCUUGGAUGUGAGCUGUGCCUGGCCACUCUUGGGGGAGGGGCUGCAUUUCACGAGGCUGCAGCUGACAAGAAGCUUCAAGCUGAAAUUUUCCUGGACCUGAUCAAGUGCGUAGCCUGGUUGCUGUGUUGACUACAGCCCUGUCUGUGUCCUCCUUGCAACUCAUUCUUUCAGACAACAGCUUAGGUUAAUGUCUGAGAUGCACAUGACCUGGGGAAUCUUCAGGAAUCUGUGACACCAAUUGAGCCCCAGAGGGGCAGCACAACCUCAGAAGUGCUGAACAGGGAGAAGGCCCUGCUGCGGACAAGCAGCUGGAGUGAGAAUAAAAACAACGGGAUCAUAGGGGCAACUCUGCACGAUCCAUGUGACAUUGGGGAGGGGGCACAGCGUUCUCUGAGAAGCUUCGGAGUGAGCUGUGCCUGGCCAGUCUUGGGGGAGGAGCAGCAUUUCACUGAGCUGCAGCUGACAAGAAGCUUCAAGACAGCCUGUCUCUUUUUGCAGUAA
rnacentral:lncRNA from 1 species